rnacentral:rRNA from 1 species
UACGGGGGGGGGCAAGCGUUGUUCGGAGUUACUGGGCGUAAAGAGUGCGUAGGCGGUUUUCUAAGUUUGGUGUGAAAUCUCCCGGCUUAACUGGGAGGGUGCGCCGAAGACUGGAAGGCUAGAGUAUGGGAGAGGUAAGCGGAAUUCCUGGUGUAGCGGUGAAAUGCGUAGAUAUCAGGAGGAACACCUGCGGUGUAGACGGCUUACUGGACCAUAACUGACGCUGAGGCACGAAAGCGUGGGUAGCAAACAGG